GACGAACGCUGGCGGCGUGCCUAAUACAUGCAAGUGGGACGCAAGGGAACACACUGUGCUUGCACACCGUGUUUUCUUGAGUCGCGAACGGGCGAGUAACGCGUAGGUAACCUGCCUAUUAGCGGGGGAUAACUAUUGGAAACGAUAGCUAAUACCGCAUAAUAUUAAUUAUUGCAUGAUAAUUGAUUGAAAGAUGCAAGCGCAUCACUAGUAGAUGGACCUGCGUUGUAUUAGCUAGUUGGUAAGGUAAGAGCUUACCAAGGCGACGAUACAUAGCCGACCUGAGAGGGUGAUCGGCCACACUGGGACUGAGACACGGCCCAGACUCCUACGGGAGGCAGCAGUAGGGAAUCUUCGGCAAUGGACGAAAGUCUGACCGAGCAACGCCGCGUGAGUGAAGAGGGUUUUCGGAUCGUAAAGCUCUGUUGUAAGUCAAGAACGUGUGUGAGAGUGGAAAGUUCACACAGUGACGGUAGCUACCAGAAA
rnacentral:rRNA from 1 species